rnacentral:tRNA from 1 species
GGGCCUAUAGCUCAGAUGGUUAGAGCGCACGCCUGAUAAGCGUGAGGUCGGUGGUUCGAUUCCACCUAGGCCCACCA